ensembl:lncRNA LINC00683 long intergenic non-protein coding RNA 683
AGGGCGGGUGAGGACCCUGCACACACACGGUGUGUUUGUGAGCUGUGCAGAGUGGGGUCUCCCUGGCAAUGGCCACAGCCUCCAGGGGCGCUGACACCUCCCGUCUAACUGGUAGACAGUUUCUGCCUCUUCUUGUUUGGGGAUUGGAGAGGGAAGUGCGUCUGGAUGACUACUAAGAUGAGGAGGCUGAGGCCUAGUGCUCCUAGCGGGCUUGGUCAAGAGCAGGAGGCGGAGGUGGUGGAAGGCUGUUUCCCUGCGAGAAUACACUGCAUCGAACACAGAACAAAAAGACUCACUACAACGCUGCAGCCACAAUAGUGUGUGAUUUCAAGUCUUAAAAACCAGAAUCACUUUCUUCUCUGGACUGGAAGCAUAUUUAUUUUGGCCGCUAGCCCUGCUGUCACCUACGGAAAACAGAGAACCUGGGGGGAUGUGCUGAAGGCAGCUCCUGAGCCUUCCCACUCCCCACACGCCCUCACAUCAGCAGCAGAGCCCGGGGCUGACGGAGUGGGUUUCUCUGGGAAGGACUCUGCCCUUGGAUAGAUCUGUAUCUAUGGUAACAGUAAGAUGUUUGUGUGAAUAACUGAAAAAAAAAAAAAAGUCUUUCAAAUCUC